AUGUGAGCAAACAAUCUCACACUCCUACUGUCAUAGCUGUGUCUUCCCCACCAGGAUGAACUGUGGUCUCUAAAACUGCAAACCCCUCUCUUCCUUAAGGUCAGGUCUACAUCACAGUGAUGAAGAAUGAUGUAAUUAAUACAGUCCCUCCAGGCUCUGGUGUGGCUCGUUCCCACCCAUCAUCUGGGUUACCAUCUGCCUCCUAUCAGACUGUGGCUGCCCUAGCAGGAAGAGUGCCUCCCUUCACCAGGACUUUUGACAAGAAUUCUGGAGGAGACUCUGCUUGUGCCUUUUGACCAUGACUGGACUGGUCAUGAUCCAUGUUGGCAUUCCUUCUAGGCUCCUCGCCACAGUUACCUGACAACAGCCAGCUUAAGGAUGGGACACUGUCCCUGCAGUGAGUUCAGCUUUCAAGGCAACCUGGAUGUGGAGGAUGAUGCUGGGCCGCCAUGCUGGGAUGCCAGCUGAACCCACCACCUCAAACAGCUCCCCUCUGUGCUCUGAGAUGCCCUUUUCUGGAACCCCACUGGAAUAAAGGUACUCUCCCACA